rnacentral:lncRNA from 1 species
UUAUCUUCCUUCUUAGAAUCAUAUUAUAUUAGUUCCAAGACAGAAGAGGGGUAAGGGCUAAGCACUGGGGGGUGGGGGUGGGGUGGGAUAUUAAGUGACUUGCCCAAGGUCACACAGCCAAGAAGUAUCUGAAACCAAAUUUGAACCCAGGAUCUCCCAUCUCUAGGCUUGGCUCUCAAUCCAUGGAACUAUCUAUCAGUGAUAUGAAGACAAAAAUGAAACAGUGCCUGCCCUCAGGAAACCUACAUUCUAUCAGGAGAGAAUUUUAUUUACUAGUGUGGAUGAGUAAAUUGAAGAAAACCUGCAACAGAGGCAAUGGAUGAAGAUUUGCAGAAGCUGUCAAUCAAGGAGCAUUCCGGAAGAGAAUGUGACUGGGAGAAGACAGUUGAAGGGAGGCAUCCAAAUUGUUGGAGUUCUCUUUCUCCUGAGACAGGAAGGAAAAGUCAUCCCAUAUGACAAAGAGCAUUUUUUUUGGAGAGGAUUAAAAAAGUCAACCCAACUGAUUGAUACAUUGAAAAAGUGCAAAAACAAGUAACGUGUAAUACCUGUGGACCUCUCACCUCUAUGAAGAGUAGAUCAUGGGUGUCUUCUCAUAAAAACAAAAUGUUUUGAUAAUUGUUUUUUCAUAUCCUUUGACAAUUUAUCUAAUAACGAAUGCCUAGGAGGCAAUCCAAUCAUCCUCCAGACUUAAUUGGUCUAGGAGAAGCUAGGUAUCUUAGUGGAGAGAGAGCCAGGCUGGGAGAUGGAAGUCCCGAGUUCAAGUAUGACCUAAAACACUUCUUACCUGUAUGAUUCUGGGCAAGUCACUUGACUCCAAUUGCCUAGUCCUUACUGCUCAUCUGCUUUGGAAUGGAUAUUUAGUAUAAAGUCUAAGACAGAAGGCAAGGGUUUAAAAAAAAAAAAAGGCUUAACUGGUCUAGGGCAAAGGUGUCAAGCUAUACUACCAAUAAAGCCCAACAGAAAGAGAGAGAAAUUCCA